rnacentral:rRNA from 1 species
UACGUAGGGGGCAAGCGUUGUUCGGAAUUACUGGGCGUAAAGGGCUCGUAGGCGGCCAACUAAGUCAGACGUGAAAUCCCUCGGCUUAACCGGGGAACUGCGUCUGAUACUGGAUGGCUAGAGAUUGGGAGAGGGAUGCGGAAUUCCAGGUGUAGCGGUGAAAUGCGUAGAUAUCUGGAGGAACACCGGUGGCGAAGGCGGCAUCCUGGACCAACACUGACGCUGAGGAGCGAAAGCCAGGGGAGCAAACGGG